rnacentral:rRNA from 1 species
GUCCUUUUGACUUUAAUUUAAGGUUUAACCUGCCCACUGAAAUUAUUUAAAGGGCCGCAGUAAUUUGACUGUGCAAAGGUAGCAUAAUCAUUAGUUUUUUAAUUAAAAGCUUGUAUGAAGGGUUGGACGAGGUAAAAUCUGUCUCUAUUUAAUUUAUUUUAGAAUUUAAUUUUUAAGUUAAAAAGCUUAAAUUUUUUUAAAAGACGAGAAGACCCUAUAGAUCUUUAUAUUAUAUUUAUUAAUUUUAAUUAGGAAUAUUUUAUUUUUUAAUAUUUAUAUUAUUUUAUUGGGGUAAUAAAAAGAUUAAAUUAAUUCUUUUUUAUUAUAACAUUAAUUAAUGAUUAUAUGAUCCAUUUUUAUUGAUUAAAAGAUUAAGUUACCUUAGGGAUAACAGCGUAAUUUUUUUAGAGAGUUCAUAUCGAUAAGAAAGUUUGCGACCUCGAUGUUGGAUUAAAAAUUAUCUUAGGUGCAGAAUUUUAAGAUUUUGGUCUGUUCGACCAUUAAAUUUUUACAUGAUCUGAGUUCAGACCGGCGUAAGCCAGGUCGGUUUCUAUCUUUAAUAAUUUAUAGUAUUUUAGUACGAAAGGACCAAAUAUUUAAUAUAUUUAUAUUUAAUUAUUUUGAAUAU